rnacentral:lncRNA from 1 species
UUUUUUUUUUUUUUGGUAAUGACUAUAGAGUUUUCUUCACAUUUCACAGAUUGAAACCCUUUACUUUGAGAAUAUGGCUAAACCUGUCCAAAGAUACUGCCCAGAGCUAUUGAUUUGCUCUCUCCAAAAGGACAUUCUUGUCAUUAAAUCAUAUUUUCCUAAAGAUGGGAUGUAGCAAACCUCAUUGACUGCAGCCUAGUGCAUAGCCAGCUCCUUGAGCACAGGAAGGGACUCUCUUCCACACUGGACACAGGUGGCUCCCUCACUUGUUUCCAGAGGUCCUCUUUAGAGCUAGCACCUGUCUCCCACAAGCCCCCGCCCCCACCCCCCCAAGGAAAUUGAAGGAGAACAGCACAGAAUGGGAUGCAGCUGGGGAAAACAAUCUUGGCAAUCCUGCACAGACCCUAUCAGACUGCAGACAGCCAUCCACCUAUUACUGUGCCUACUACAGAUCCUGGCCACAGACCUGGAUGCAAACCUCAACUCCAAAAACUAGUCUAUGGAGUUAAAAGUCAGGAUAGUUCUUACUGUGGGGAGGAGGGAAGGGAAGGGGUUGGGGAGGGGCAUGAGAGGGGCUUCAGAAUGGUAAGAUUCUGUUUCUUGAUCUGGGUGGUAGUUACUGGGU